rnacentral:rRNA from 1 species
CGUAGGUGGCAAGCGUUGUCCGGAAUUAUUGGGCGUAAAGGGCUCGCAGGCGGUUUCUUAAGUCUGAUGUGAAAGCCCCCGGCUCAACCGGGGAGGGUCAUUGGAAACUGGGAAACUUGAGUGCAGAAGAGGAGAGUGGAAUUCCACGUGUAGCGGUGAAAUGCGUAGAGAUGUGGAGGAACACCAGUGGCGAAGGCGACUCUCUGGUCUGUAACUGACGCUGAGGAGCGAAAGCGUGGGGAGCGAACAGGAUUAGAUACCCUGGUAGUCCACGCCGUAAACGAUGAGUGCUAA